rnacentral:rRNA from 1 species
CCUACGGGAGGCAGCAGUGAGGAAUAUUGGUCAAUGGACGCAAGUCUGAACCAGCCAUGCCGCGUGCAGGAUGACGGUCCUAUGGAUUGUAAACUGCUUUUGUACGAGAAGAAACACUCCUUCGUGAAGGAGCUUGACGGUAUCGUAAGAAUAAGGAUCGGCUAACUCCGUGCCAGCAGCCGCGGUAAU